rnacentral:rRNA from 1 species
UCUGUAGCAAGGUUAACCGCAUAGGGGAGCCGGAGGGAAACCGAGUCUUAAUUGGGCGUUAAGUUGCAGGGUAUAGACCCGAAACCCGGUGAUCUAGCCAUGGGCAGGUUGAAGGUUGGGUAACACUAACUGGAGGACCGAACCGACUAAUGUUGAAAAAUUAGCGGAUGACCUGUGGCUGGGGGUGAAAGGCCAAUCAAACCGGGAGAUAGCUGGUUCUCCCCGAAAGCUAUUUAGGUAGCGCCUCGUGAAUUCAUCUCCGGGGGUAGAGCACUGUUUCGGCUAGGGGGCCAUCCCGGCUUACCAACCCGAUGCAAACUGCGAAUACCGGAGAAUGUUAUCACGGGAGACACACGGCGGGUGCUAACGUCCGUCGUGAAGAGGGAAACAACCCAGACCGCCAGCUAAGGUCCCAAAGUCAUGGUUAAGUGGGAAACGAUGUGGGAAGGCCCAGACAGCCAGGAUGUUGGCUUAGAAGCAGCCAUCAUUUAAAGAAAGCGUAAUAGCUCACUGGUCGAGUCGGCCUGCGCGGAAGAUGUAACGGGGCUAAACCAU